UACGGAGGGAGCUAGCGUUAUUCGGAAUUACUGGGCGUAAAGCGCACGUAGGCGGCUUUGUAAGUCAGAGGAUGAAAGCCGUGGAGCUCAACUCCAGAACUGCCUUUGAGACUGCAUCGCUUGAAUCCAGGAGAGGUGAGUGGAAUUCCGAGUGUAGAGGUGAAAUUCGUAGAUAUUCGGAAGAACACCAGUGGCGAAGGCGGCUCACUGGACUGGUAUUGACGCUGAGGUGCGAAAGCGUGGGGAGCAAACAGGG
rnacentral:rRNA from 1 species